rnacentral:rRNA from 1 species
UACGCAGGGUGCGAGCGUUGUCCGGAAUUAUUGGGCGUAAAGAGCUCGUAGGCGGCCUGUCGCGUCGGAUGUGAAAGCCCGGGGCUUAACCCCGGGUCUGCAUUCGAUACGGGCAGGCUAGAGUUCGGUAGGGGAGAUCGGAAUUCCUGGUGUAGCGGUGAAAUGCGCAGAUAUCAGGAGGAACACCGGUGGCGAAGGCGGAUCUCUGGGCCGAUACUGACGCUGAGGAGCGAAAGCGUGGGGAGCGAACAGG